UCAAACUAAGGGCAGCAAACAUUAUAAUGAGAAAAAGAGAUACACCAUAGAAGACUUAAGAAAUGGAGUGUUCUAUGUGACCAUCAAGAACCUGAGGAAGUCAGACUCUGGGACCUACUGGUGUGGAGUGGAGAGAUAUGGACUAGACUCAUUCCAAGAGGUGCAUCUCAUAGUUACAGAUGCUCCUCCUACUCCUACACCGUCACCUGUCACCUCCAGACCCCAUGUCUCCACAAUCCUCCCAAACCUCUCUACAACGUUUCUGACAUCUGGAGAUAUCAGUGGUCACUUUUCAUCAAGAACAGACUACUCUCCUGGUGCAGGACAGAAUCAGAGUUCUGGGGUACUGGUGUAUAUGGGGACAGGUCUGGGGAUGGUGGUGUGUGUGUUGGUCCUCAUUCUCAUCAUAUUCAUCAGACAAAGGACCAGAACAAAGAUAA